GCUGGGGUGGCGGAAUAGGCAGACGCACAGGACUUAAAAUCCUGCGGUGGGUGACCACCGUGUCGGUUCGAGUCCGACCCUCAGCACCA
rnacentral:tRNA from 3 species